CCUACGGGUUGCAGCAGUAGGGAAUCUUCGGCAAUGGGGGCAACCCUGACCGAGCAACGCCGCGUGAGUGAAGAAGGUUUUCGGAUCGUAAAGCUCUGUUGUAAGUCAAGAACGGGUGUGAGAGUGGAAAGUUCACACUGUGACGGUAGCUUACCAGAAAGGGACGGCUAACUACGUGCCAGCAGCCGCGGUAAUACGUAGGUCCCGAGCGUUGUCCGGAUUUAUUGGGCGUAAAGCGAGCGCAGGCGGUUUGAUAAGUCUGAAGUUAAAGGCUGUGGCUCAACCAUAGUUCGCUUUGGAAACUGUCAAACUUGAGUGCAGAAGGGGAGAGUGGAAUUCCAUGUGUAGCGGUGAAAUGCGUAGAUAUAUGGAGGAACACCGGUGGCGAAAGCGGCUCUCUGGUCUGUAACUGACGCUGAGGCUCGAAAGCGUGGGGAGCGAACAGGAUUAGAUACCCUCGUAGUC
rnacentral:rRNA from 1 species